AACGUAGGAGACAAACGUUAUCCGGAGUUACUGGGCGUAAAGGGCGUGUAGGUGGUAUCGUAAGUCUGGCGUGAAAUUUCUCGGCUUAACCGAGGCAGGUCGUCGGAUACUGCGAGGCUAGAGGACGGUAGAGGCGUGUGGAAUUCCGGGUGUAGUGGUGAAAUGCGUAGAGAUCCGGAGGAACACCAGUGGCGAAGGCGACACGCUGGGCCGUACCCGACACUGAUGCGCGACAGCAUGGGGAGCAAACAGG
rnacentral:rRNA from 1 species